UGGGGAAUAUUGCACAAUGGAGGGAACUCUGAUGCAGCGACGCCGCGUGAACGAAGAAGGCUUUCGAGUCGUAAAGUUCUUUUAUAUGGGAAGAUAAUGACGGUACCAUAAGAAAAAGCCCCUGCUAACUACGUGCCAGCAGCCGCGGUAAUACGUAGGGGGCUAGCGUUGUCCGGAAUCACUGGGCGUAAAGGGUUCGCAGGCGGAAAUGCAAGUCAGGUGUAAAAGGCAGUAGCUUAACUACUGUAAGCAUUUGAAACUGCAUAUCUUGAGAAGAGUAGAGGUAAGUGGAAUUUUUAGUGUAGCGGUGAAAUGCGUAGAUAUUAAAAAGAAUACCGGUGACGAAGGCGACUUACUGGGCUCAUUCUGACGCUGAGGAACGAAAGCGUGGGUAGCAAACAGG
rnacentral:rRNA from 1 species